UGCAGUCGACGCUUCUUUUCCACCGGAGCUUGCUCCACCGGGAAAAGAGGAGUGGCGAACGGGUGAGUAACACGUGGGUAACCUGCCCAUCAGAAGGGGAUAACACUUGGAAACAGGUGCUAAUACCGUAUAACAAUCGAAACCGCAUGGUUUCGUUUUGAAAGGCGCUUUACGGUGCCGCUGAUGGAUGGACCCGCGGUGCAUUAGCUAGUUGGUGAGGUAACGGCUCACCAAGGCCACGAUGCAUAGCCGACCUGAGAGGGUGAUCGGCCACAUUGGGACUGAGACACGGCCCAAACUCCUACGGGAGGCAGCAGUAGGGAAUCUUCGGCAAUGGACGAAAGUCUGACCGAGCAACGCCGCGUGAGUGAAGAAGGUUUUCGGAUCGUAAAACUCUGUUGUUAGAGAAGAACAAGGGUGAGAGUAACUGUUCACCCCUUGACGGUAUCUAACCAGAAAGCCACGGCUAACUACGUGCCAGCAGCCGCGGUAAUACGUAGGUGGCAAGCGUUGUCCGGAUUUAUUGGGCGUAAAGCGAGCGCAGGCGGUUUCUUAAGUCUGAUGUGAAAGCCCCCGGCUCAACCGGGGAGGGUCAUUGGAAACUGGGAGACUUGAGUGCAGAAGAGGAGAGUGGAAUUCCAUGUGUAGCGGUGAAAUGCGUAGAUAUAUGGAGGAACACCAGUGGCGAAAGGCGGCUCUCUGGUCUGUAACUGACGCUGAGGCUCGAAAGCGUGGGGAGCAAACAGGAUUAGAUACCCUGGUAGUCCACGCCGUAAACGAUGAGUGCUAAGUGUUGGAGGGUUUCGUCCUUCAGUGCUGCAGCUAACGCAUUAGCACUCCGCUGGGGGAGUACGACCGCAAGGUUGAAACCUCAAAGGGAAUUG
rnacentral:rRNA from 1 species